GAUGAACGCUGGCUACAGGCUUAACACAUGCAAGUCGAGGGGAAACGGCAUUGAGUGCUUGCACUGAAUGGACGUCGACCGGCGCACGGGUGAGUAACGCGUAUCCAACCUUCCCGUUACUGCGGGAUAACCUGCCGAAAGGCAGACUAAUACCGCAUGUUCUUCGAUGACGGCAUCAGAUUCGAAGCAAAGAUCCGUCGGUAACGGAGGGGGAUGCGUCUGAUUAGCUAGUUGGCGGGGCGACGGCCCACCAAGGCGACGAUCAGUAGGGGUUCUGAGAGGAAGGUCCCCCACAUUGGAACUGAGACACGGACCAAACUCCUACGGGAGGCAGCAGUGAGGAAUAUUGGUCAAUGGGCGGAAGCCUGAACCAGCCAAGUAGCGUGCAGGAUGACGGCCCUACGGGUUGUAAACUGCUUUUAUGCGGGGAUAAAGUGAGGGACGCGUCCCUUUUUGCAGGUACCGCAUGAAUAAGGACCGGCUAAUUCCGUG
rnacentral:rRNA from 1 species